rnacentral:rRNA from 1 species
GUAGGUGGCAAGCGUUGUCCGGGAAUUAUUGGGGCGUAAAGCGCGCGCAGGCGGUUCUUUAAGUCUGAUGUGAAAGCCCACGGGCUCAACCGUGGAGGGUCAUUGGAAACUGGAGAACUUGAGUACAGAAGAGGAAAGCGGAAUUCCACGUGUAGCGGUGAAAUGCGUAGAGAUGUGGAGGAACAUCAGUGGCGAAGGCGGCUUUCUGGUCUGUAACUGACGCUGAGGCGCGAAAGCGUGGGGAGCAAACAGGAUUAGAUACCCUGGUAGUCCACGCCGUAAACGAUGAGUGCUAAGUGUUAGGGGGUUUCCGCCCCUUAGUGCUGCAGCUAACGCAUUAAGCACUCCGCCUGGGGAGUACGGCCGCAAAGGCUAA